GAUGAACGCUGGCGGCGUGCCUAAUACAUGCAAGUCGAGCGAAGGGACGAGAAGCUUGCUUCUCUGAUGUUAGCGGCGGACGGGUGAGUAACACGUGGAGAACCUACCUAUAAGACUGGGAUAACUUCGGGAAACCGGAGCUAAUACCGGAUAAUAUUUUGAACCGCAUGGUUCAAAAGUGAAAGACGGUCUUGCUUUCACUAAUAGAUGGAUCCGCGUUGCAUUACCUAGUUGGUAAGGUAACGGCUUACCAAGGCAACAAUCAAUAGCCGACCUGGGAGGUUGACCGGCCACACGGGACUUGAGACACGGCCCAAACUCCUACGGAGGGAGGCAGUGGGGAAUCUUCCGAAAUGGGCGAAGGCUUACCGGAGCAACCCCGGGGAGUUGAUGAGGGUUUCCGGACCGAAAACCUCGGUUAUUAGGGAAGAACAUAUGUGUAAGUAACUGUGCACAUCUUGACGGUACCUAAUCAGAAAGCCACGGCUAACUACGUG
rnacentral:rRNA from 1 species